rnacentral:rRNA from 1 species
UACGGGGGGAGCAAGCGUUGUUCGGAUUUACUGGGCGUAAAGGGCGCGUAGGCGGUCGUGACAAGUCACUUGUGAAAUCUCCGGGCUUAACUCGGAACGGUCAAGUGAUACUGUCGGACUAGAGUACAGAAGGGGCAACUGGAAUUCUCGGUGUAGCGGUGAAAUGCGUAGAUAUCGAGAGGAACACCUGCGGCGAAGGCGGGUUGCUGGGCUGACACUGACGCUGAAGCGCGAAAGCUAGGGGAGCGAACGGG